CUGAAAUUCUCAUUAAUAACACUGUAUUGCAAUCUGGAAGGAGAAUAAGGUUGACAGUAGGAACUUUUGGUUAAAUCUCAACUGGCGUGGCACAAAAAGGAUGAGUCUGUAAGAGUCAUAAUAUUAAAAAAUGAGUAUGUCUGUGUGUAUUCUUUUUUCCCAGUUGCAAAGCAAACAGUGAAAAGGCAGAAAGCUGAACUAGAGGCCAUAACGUCCAAACUUGCAGACAUGGAGACACUUGUUUCUAGCAAGGAUAUGGAACUGAGAGAACUCAAGAAAUUCACUGAAGGACUGAAAGGAACUUACCUUGGCAAGAUACAGAGCCUUGAAGAAAAAUAUAAUGCCCAAAAGAAGAUAACUCAAUCCAUAGAGUCUUAUAUCCUUGAUCUGCAGUCAUCCGUGGACAGUGAAAAAGAGAAAAUGGAGCACUACUCUUAGAACAUAUUUAAAUAAUAUAGUUUAAUGUAAUCUGCAUCAUCCUAAAAUUAUUUAUCUGUAUUGAAGUACAUUCCACAACAGGCUUCUGUUUGUUGGUAAAGCUUACUAACCAGAUGUAAUAUGUACAGUGUAGCUAGUUUAUUCCUUAAUUCUGUGGUCACUCACGGAAACCUUCUCAGUCUGGCCUACUUGAAUCCAUAGUUUCUUCUAAUAAGCAAUUCUAAAAUUAUGGUGUAGACCCUUUGCAUAAAUUUCUGCCACCUCUCCUCGGGACCAGUUUUCCAAAAUACCAAAAGUUUCCAAGUAAAUCACUAUAUUUGGAACCUCUUGUAAGUGACCACCUCUC